rnacentral:misc_RNA from 1 species
AAGAGGGCCGACACGAGUCACUUCAGUAUUACCAUUGGCUGGUUUUCUACUCAGUCCUUGGGAAUUAUCUCUAGAUGAUCUCCGAGCUAACUGAGCAAAAUCAUCUUCCGAUUCGUCAUCUUCAUGGCUAACAUUUAUAAUUGGAAGAGCGGAUGAUUCAGCUCCUGUUGCUUCCCUAGUAGCAGUCCCAUUCGCUAUAUCAUCAUGCUGUUUAAGAACUCGCUGCAGACUAUCAUUCAAAGCCAGUCCCUGACAUAAAAGUUCCUCAUCUCCUGUACUAUUUACAAGCAGCAUGACGCGCUUUUGAUAAGAUCGGCACUGGUCAACCAGGUCAACAAUCACUUCUUGCUUCACGCCCUCUGGUUUUUUAGGGUCCAAGGCACCAAGCAUCUCCAAUAGAACAUCUGCAAGUCCAUGUGCAUUUCGUAUCUCUGGCAAGCUCAGGCCAGAAGCAUCAGAUUCAAGAGAGGCAUGAAUAGCAGCAUCCUCAUAAGUUG